CUUACUGGGCUGUCUAGCUUAUUAUACUAUCUCUUGUUGUUUUACAGAUUUCGAGAACUAGUCUAUUGGGGAUUCAAAUUGGGAGAGCGACUAGAAGGAUUGUGGCACUAGUUAUCUUAGAUUAGGAUUAUUUAAGUUGAUUUGUUAUUAUGGACAUUUAUUAUGAUUGGUGGACUUUUAUUAUUUUAAGAACUAGGUUUCUGCAUGUUGGUAAAUGAUUAUUCCACUGCCUAUUUAGACUUGUG
rnacentral:lncRNA from 1 species